rnacentral:rRNA from 1 species
UGGGUAACCUACCCAUCAGAGGGGGAUAACACUUGGAAACAGGUGCUAAUACCGCAUAACAGUUUAUGCCGCAUGGCAUAAGAGUGAAAGGCGCUUUCGGGUGUCGCUGAUGGAUGGACCCGCGGUGCAUUAGCUAGUUGGUGAGGUAACGGCUCACCAAGGCCGCGAUGCAUAGCCGACCUGAGAGGGUGAUCGGCCACACUGGGACUGAGACACGGCCCAGACUCCUACGGGAGGCAGCAUG